CCUACGGGUGGCAGCAGUCGAGAAUCAUUCACAAUGGGGGAAACCCUGAUGGUGCGACGCCGCGUGGGUGAAUGAAGGUCUUCGGAUUGUAAACCCCUGUCAUGUGGGAGCAAAUGAAAAAGAUAGUACCACAAGAGGAAGAGAAGGCUAACUCUGUGCCAGCAGCCGCGGGAAUACAGAGGUCUCAAGCGUUGUUCGGAAUCACUGGGCGUAACGCGGGCGUAGGCGGUUUCGUAAGUCGUGUGUGAAAGGCACGGGCGCAACCCGCGGACGGCACAUGAUAGUGCGAGGCUAGAGUAAUGGAGGGGGAACCGGAAUUCUCGGUGUAGCAGUGAAAUGCGUAGAUAUCGAGAGGAACACUCGUGGCGAAGGCGGGUUCCUGGACAUUAACUGACGCUGAGGCACGAAGGCCAGGGGAGCGAAAGGGAUUAGAUACCCCAGUAGUC
rnacentral:rRNA from 1 species